rnacentral:misc_RNA from 1 species
UCCGGUUUGUCACCGGCAGUCUCAUUAGAGUGCCCAACUGAAUGUAGCAACUAAUGACAAGGGUUGCGCUCGUUGCGGGACUUAACCCAACAUCUCACGACACGAGCUGACGACAGCCAUGCAGCACCUGUGUAGGCUGGUAUUGCUACCUCGUUAGGCUUUCGCCCUUCUACUACCUACAUGUCAAGGCCAGGUAAGGUUCUUCGCGUUGCAUCGAAUUAAGCCACGUACUCCACCGCUUGUGCAGGCCCCCGUCAAUUUCUUUGAGUUUUAAUCUUGCGACCGUACUCCCCAGGCGGUCAACUUCACGCGUUAGCUGCGUUACCGAGGAAUUGCUCCCCCGACAACUAGUUGACAUCGUUUAGGGCGUGGACUAC